rnacentral:rRNA from 1 species
UACGUAGGGGGCCAGCGUUGCUCGGAAUUACUGGGCGUAAAGGGUGCGUAGGCGGUUCGCUAAGUUGGAUGUGAAAACUCUGGGCUUAACCCAGAGCCUGCAUCCAAUACUGACGAGCUAGAGUUCUGGAGGGGGUAGCGGAAUUCCUGGUGUAGCGGUGAAAUGCGUAGAUAUCAGGAGGAACACCGGUGGCGAAGGCGGCUACCUGGACAGAGUCUGACGCUGAGGCACGAAAGCUAGGGGAGCAAACAGG